GGCGGCGUGCUUAACACAUGCAAGUCGAACGGAAAGGCCUCUUCGGAGGUACUCGAGUGGCGAACGGGUGAGUAACACGUGGGUAAUCUGCCCUGCACUUCGGGAUAAGCUUGGGAAACUGGGUCUAAUACCGAAUAUGACCUCGGGACGCAUGUCCCCUGGUGGAAAGCUUUUGCGGUGUGGGAUGGGCCCGCGGCCUAUCAGCUUGUUGGUGGGGUGACGGCCUACCAAGGCGACGACGGGUAGCCGGCCUGAGAGGGUGUCCGGCCGCACUGGGACUGAGAUACGGCCCAGACUCCUACGGGAGGCAGCAGUGGGGAAUAUUGCACAAUGGGCGCAAGCCUGAUGCAGCGACGCCGCGUGGGGGAUGACGGCCUUCGGGUUGUAAACCUCUUUCAGCAGGGACGAAGCGCAAGUGACGGUACCUGCAGAAGAAGCACCGGCCAACUACGUGCCAGCAGCCGCGGUAAUACGUAGGGUGCGAGCGUUGUCCGGAAUUACUGGGCGUAAA
rnacentral:rRNA from 1 species